AGUUAAAAAUUUCAUCUAUUUAUAAUGCUAAAAACUGACAAAUAAUUAGAUAGUGACAUAUAGUAUGUUAUGUGUAUCUCAUGCUAAUAUGUAGAGACUAAUUUUUAACAGUAAAAAUAGAUGAAAUUUUUAACU
rfam:Gossypium hirsutum cultivar TM-1 chromosome 23, whole genome shotgun sequence